CCUCCAGGGACAAUGACUCCUCCACCUCCUUGGGCAGCCCAUUCCAGUCCCUCACCACUCUUUCAGAGAAGAAAUUUGUCCUAAUAUCCUACCUGGAACUCCAGUGGUGCAACUUGAGGCCAUUACCUCUCCUCCUAUCGGUAGAAGAAGGGUCUGACACGCAGCCAAGCAAAAAUGUAGUUAUGCAAAACAGGCACUGAGCUACUGCCAUGCUUAUCUAUGCUACCUUAGGGACUGGGAAGUGCUUACUUUGUCUACAUUUAAAUGCAACUGCUGAACAUCUACAACACCUACAAAAGGGUAUUACCCUCCACAUACAUUCCCAUUACAUAAUAUCCAUCCAAAGGUCCACAUAAGUGAGCCCCAUAUAUGAUGGAAGCCAACAGCAAUACUCAUGCAGCCCCAUCAGCCUGUGGUACGGGCACUUCCUGAUCCAGUGUCAGUGUCUGUCAAUACAAGAGCCUUCACAGAUUCCUCUUCUCUGAAUGUCUCCAAGUCCUUUAUGAAUACAUGCAAAAUUUUACUGUCUUUUAGCAAACUCUAAAGCUCCACAAUUAAUUGUGUGCAGACAUACUGCUUUCUGUUCAUUUUGAACUUCCUGAUUUUAUUUACUAGGUCUUAAUUUGGAAGAUACAUGACAUCUGUUUCUGUUCACCCUUUCCAUGUCACUAGCUCUGUAUUAUAUUCCCUUCUCUGUAAGAGAGGCAAUUUAUUUGAGUCUUAAUCUACUUAUGCUCCUCCACAUGGAAGCCAUUCCCUACUUUGCCUCACUGUGCCUUUUUUCUCUGCAUAUUCUUUCUCUGUAGCUUGUAUCAUCCUCUGACUCCGCAGCGUCAAACCAGCUGAGUACCACAUUUGAGCAGGAUGCAAACUUAAUCCUCUUAAGCUCAUAGUGAGCAUCUUUUGUACCAUUUUAUUCAGCUUAUAGCUCAUGGGCAAGUAAGGUUCAGGACUGUAUGCAAUAGUUUACCCUCUACCAUAAGUGGUAGAAGGUAAGUCAGAUGAAUGCUGAGGCUAUUAGACUGCUUGGCUUCUUGUUCUUCCAGGGGGUCUGUUGGGCUCUGAGAAAGUAUGGGGUAACUUGUUUUUUAUUAUUAUUAUUGUUUUCUUAUUUGUUUGUUUUUGCUUUGUUUUGUUUCCUUUUCUUUACCUCCUUCCCUGUUUUAUCUGACAUAUUGUAUACAGACAGCCAUGAAUUUCUUAAGGCUGGGUAAGUCACUAUCCCUGGAGGUGUUCAAGAACUGUGGAGAUGUGGUGCUGCGGGACGUGGUUAGUGGGCAUGGUGGAGAUGGGCUGAUGGUUAAACUAGAUGAUCUCAGUGGUCUUUUCCAACCUUAAUCAUUCUACGAUUCCAUGCUUCCCAGCUGCUCCAGAACUGAAGUCCCAUCACCCAUCCAGAAUCCCACAGUAUCCUCAGUUGUCUCCGUGCCAUGCUAUGGACAUACUCUAUGAAGCCCUGUGUGGACGCCACCUGCCAAGGACGGUCUUUUGCAGAAAUAAACAGCAAAAACAUAGACUGUAUGAGCCUGGGGAAAAGCCUACGUGGUGGAAAAAAAGGACAUGAAAAAUAAAUGAAGGCCUGCUGCCCCCUGUCACGGACGCGGAUCUAGAGAGAAGUCCGUGACAAGUCUAUUGGGUUGGCUGCUGGGGACAGGAGCCGUCACGUGGCUGUGGUACAUGGCUGCUCCUGCGGUGUCUUCAGGGCUGGUUCUGGG